UACGGGGGGUGCGAGCGUUGUCCGGAAUCACUGGGCGUAAAGGGCGCGUAGGUGGUUUGAUAAGGGUGUGGUGAAAGUCCGGGGCUCAACCCCGGAUCUGCCGUGCCGACUGUCAAACUCGAGGACUGUAGAGGCAGACGGAAUUCCGGGUGUAGCGGUGGAAUGCGUAGAGAUCCGGAGGAAGACCGGUGGCGAAGGCGGUCUGCUGGGCAGUUUCUGACACUGAGGCGCGACAGCGGUGGGGAGCAAACAGGG
rnacentral:rRNA from 1 species